GCUCCAUGCCUCAUGGCUCCAGAGAUCAGUGCAGUCCAGAGUCAGCCGAUGCGGUGUAGAGUGGAACGCUGGGUUUGCAGGCCCAUGCCAGGGCUCAAGUCCCUCCUCUCCACUCCCUGGCCGAGUGCCAUUUGAACAGGUCACCUGAGCUCUAUGAGCCACGUUUUCUCCUCUGUAAAGCGGCACAAGGUGCUGAGAUUGUGCGUGAGUCCAGAAGCCGCCUUGUAGAAUAAACGUGAGUUUUGGAGUCAGUUCUGCGUUUGAACCCGGCUCUGCCGCCUCGUAGCUGUGUGGCCUUGGGUAGGUCGAGUGACCUCUCUGAGCUUCUUUCACGUGUCACAAAAUAUUCUUUAGAUUUUUUUUUUAAAUUACGUUUUUAAUUUUGAUUCCAGUAUAGUUGACAUACAGUGUUACAUUAGUUUCAAGUGUACAAUAUAGUGAUUCAACAAUUCUAUAUAUUUCUCAGUGCUCAUCAUAAUAGAUAAGGGUACUCUUUGGAUUUUUAAAACAAUCGAGAAAUGUAAAAACCGUACUUACAGGUGGUUGCACAAAAACACAGCGGGCUAGAUUUGGCCGGUGGGCUGUAGUUUGCUGACCCGCAGGUUAGACUGUGAAAGCCUCCAAAGCGCGAGCAAUUUCCUUUAUAUUCUCAGCGGACUCCCUGUAGAUCCAGCAAAUGGCUGGUGAAUGAGAACGUCUUGCUACCUCUUAGAGAUAGUAAUGUGGCUACUGGCUGGAGAUAUGAAUGUGAACAUGGCAUGUUGCCGGUACAGAAGGUUGUUCUGGAAAGACAGAAGCCCCUUCCGGGGGGAAUUUGCAUCUUAGGAGAGAAGGCAGGGAGAGCUAACAACCUUGGAAGCUGCUGCAAUUCUGGAGAAGCUGCCCUGGCUCCUCAGCCACUCCCCACUCAGCCAGCAGGGGGCGCUAGAGGACCGCUUUCCUCUGCGUGUCCGGGCAGCCGGGAAGCCUUGUCUGCGGUGCCCUGCCAGGAGGUGGGAGAUGCUGGGGAUGGCCCAGACGACCUCCGAGUGUCUUUUCUGCCCAUUGAAGCUUGGCUUUUUUUUUUUUUUUUUUUGUGCCGAGGAAUCCACAGGGAUGAACUUCCCCGAGCUGGCUGGCAGCCGUGAGUUCUGCCCCCUGUCCCCAGAAAUGCAAUAAAAUGAGAACACGUCUCAUGUUGCAGGGGGCUGUCUGUCAUCUUGGAGUUUCAAUGUUUCAGAAUCGCAGCGACCACAGCUUUUGGGAGAAAAGAUCACAGGUCCAUGGUGUUCAGCAUGGUUUUCUCAGCAAGGAUCCCGACCAGUAGGAGCUGCUCAGAAGUGUAUGUCCUGCCCACACCGCCCCUUCCAGGGCCCCCUGCAUUAGACACUGCAGUUGGGGGCCAGCAGCUGACCCCUGACAAGCCCUCCAGGGAAUAAUUCAUCGCGUGUGCCCUGCACGGCUGGGAGAGAGCUGGGGAAGUGGGCAUGUGAGAGGCUCAGCUACCAGAUUUCUUCCCUUACAGCCCGGCUGCCAUGGGCUAGGAUCACCUUUCUCUGCAUCGUCUUAACUAAGGUCAGCCCUGGUGUCUGUUCAAACGACAAACGCUCGGUCCCCUUGACCUUCAGGAAUCUAUCCUGGUACAAACGAAAUGGCCAGAGUGUUAGGAUAUGUGUGCAAAGAUAUUUAUUGGUGUGUGGUCUGCCCUGGCAAUAAUUGGAAACAUUACUUUACCAAUAGGUGAAUAAUAGAAUCAAUUCUGGCACAUUCAGUAUUAUGGAACAUCAUGGGUCCUUACGAAGAAUUAGGUAGAUCUCCCUGUAUUGAUCUGGGAGGCACGCUAUCUAUUGCUCAGCAAUAAAGCAACUUGCUGAUUCAUGCCUGUGACAUGAUUCCUUUUUUUUUUUUCUUUUGAGGAAAAAGAGCCUCCAUGUUAUAUGUGCAUUUGUGUGUGUGGUACAGGGUUUGGAGGAGGGGGCAAUAAAGAUAAGCAGAGCAUGGAAGAAUAUGAAGAAUGUUACCUUGUAGGGUUGCAGGCAGGGCUGAAACCCAUUCACUCAUUUGUUUCGUUCAUGGUUUUGUUCAAUUCAUAGUUAUUCAUUUAAAAAAAAAGUUUAACGUUUAUUUAUUUAGAGAGAGACAGAGCGCCAGCAGGGGA